GUGGAUGGGUACUUUUCGUCUGUUGAGUUCAUGAAUCAGGACUAGCAGCUAGCUAGGACUGCAUCCUUGAUGAGCUGGAGUGAUAGCUGUAGGUCAUCAAGCAGCUGGUGAGGGUCAGGAAUGACGCUUUCAUCGACUGAUAGAACCAUAGUCAUCUUGUUCACAUAGCUUUGGAAAUUAAUCAUCAGUGCCUAUCAACAAGGCAAAGCAAAUCAUCAGACGAUACUUGUUUGCCAAGCCAAAGAUAACCCAUUAUUAUCUUUAUCCUAAGUUUAUUGUUAUGAAGUACUCACAUGGGGUUGGCCAUAAGAACCUGAAGCAAGAUAUGCAAUUGGAUGGCCAUAGAACCCGAUUUCUUCUUGUGGUCCAACUAUGUUGGAGACGCACAUUGUUGUCUGCGUGAUAAUUCUGUGAGAUAGGUCACUGGAUGCCUGCAGAUUGGUUCAAAGAAUAUGCAUACUUGGUCAAUUUUUAGGUUCAUCAGCAAUGGAUACUAGUAUAUCUUAAUUGCUCCUCCAUAUUAGAAAACACAUUGAGCUAGCUUUUGUAGUUGGUACAACCUUAACUCCGAAAAAUUUGAGCACCAAAUCAGCAAUGGAGAAUGUGUAAACGGCCUCAAGGGAAUUCUUCUUCCUAUCAAUGGUUGCCUUUGCUUCUCUAACAUAAUCCAGAGGAUCGUCUCGUAAUGCAAUUUUAUAGGGAAGAAGCACGAAACCAAUCCAGUUUCCCCACUUGGCUUCAGCGUCUUUCUCCAUCAUAUCUGCUA
rnacentral:lncRNA from 1 species